rnacentral:ncRNA from 2 species
UAUCUUUACGGGGAUGGAGUCCCCCUUGAACCGCAUGUAUUGCUGAUGACUCCUGCCUGACG